GAGGGGGACCUUCGGCCUCUCGCAUUCGGAUGUGCCCAGAUAGGAUUAGCUAGUGGUAGGGGUAAAGCCUCACCUAGGCCACGAUCCGGAGCUGGACUGAGAGGAUGACCAGCCACACUGGAACUGAGACACGGUCCCGACUCCUACGGGAGGCAGCA
rnacentral:rRNA from 1 species